rnacentral:misc_RNA from 1 species
GACCGCUGGAGUUCAGUUCGUGAGCUCUUGGAUGGACCCGAUCGUCCAACUAUGAGGAAGCACCUCACAGGCUGUUUGCUCCCGCCGGAAUCAGAUGAAGACGGUUUAAAUGAUGAUGAUGACGUGGAAAGGGGGGACAUGCCUCCUCCUCCACCCCAGCCGCCCCCCAAACCUAAAGUCCCAAGCAACAUCAAGCGGCACAGCAUACACGGGAUGAUGGAAGAGGAGAACGUGAUAAGGCCUCACCAGGAGAUGGCGCAGCUCUCCCUAGAUGAAAAGAAGUUCCUGUUAGCUGUAGAACGGGGAGACGUCGCCUCGACCAGAAGGAUGCUGCAGAAGGCGAUGGAUACCAACUACAUAAACAUGAACUGCGUCGAUCCCCUGGGCAGAUCGGCGCUACUCAUGGCCAUAGACAACGAGAACCCCGAAAUGGUCGAGUUGCUCAUCGAGCACAGGGUCGAGACCAAGGACGCCCUCCUUCACGCCAUAUCGGAAGAGUUUGUCGAGGCGGUCGAAGCACUCCUGGAACACGAGGAAGCCAAAAAGAAGCCAGGUCAACCAGCUAGUUGGGAAGCCCUUCCUCCUGAUACGGCCACGUUCACCCCCGACAUCACACCCCUGAUCCUCGCCGCCCACAGGGAUAACUACGAGAUCAUAAAAAUCCUGCUGGAUAGGGGCGCAACCCUCCCCAUGCCGCACGACGUCAGAUGCGGAUGCGAAGAGUGCGUGACUUCCAGGCUCGAGGACUCCCUUAGGCAUUCCAGGUCCAGGAUCCACGCUUACCGCGCCCUCGCCAGCCCUUCUUUAAUCGCCCUUAGCUCAAAGGACCCGAUCCUCACUGCUUUCGAGCUCUCCUGGGAGCUCAGGAGGCUUUCCUUUAUGGAGCACGAGUUCAAGACUGAGUACCAGGAGCUGAGAAAGCAAUGCCAGGACUUUGCGACGGCUCUUCUCGACCAUACGAGGAGUUCUUACGAACUCGAAGUCCUCCUCAACCACGACCCGACUGGCCCAGCUUUCGAGCACGGGGAGAGGAUGCAUCUCAACAGGCUCAAACUAGCCAUCAAACUUAGACAAAAGAAGUUCGUAGCGCAUCCGAACGUGCAACAACUACUGGCCUCGAUAUGGUACGAAGGUCUCCCUGGCUUCAGGAGGCAAAACAUGGUCCUUCAAGCGCUCCAGAUCAUCCGGAUAGGCUCCAUGUUCCCUAUAUUCAGCAUAAUGUACAUCAUCGCGCCGCACUCUAAGCCGGGUCAGACGUUGAGGAAGCCUUUCAUCAAAUUCAUCUGUCAUUCUGCGUCUUACUUCACGUUUUUAUUUUUACUCAUAUUGGCAUCGCAAAGGAUCGAAACCCUUCUGGACUGGACUCAGGACACCCCGGCGAACCAUACAGCGCCAGAACUCACCCCGACGAAAAGAGGGUCGCUCCCGACCAUCAUCGAAUGGCUCAUACUUGGCUGGGUGGCAGGUCUGAUGUGGAGCGAAGUGAAACAACUUUGGGACGUCGGCCUGGAGGAUUACCUGGCGGAUAUGUGGAACGUCAUAGAUUUUAUCACCAACUCUCUCUACGUCGCAACGGUCGCCUUAAGGAUAGUGUCUUACUGCCAGGUUCAAAGGGACAUACUGCAAGGGAAUGCUACGGAUAUACCUAGAGAGAAUUGGGAUACUUGGGACCCGAUGUUGAUAUCCGAGGGUUUAUUUUCCGCUGCCAAUAUUUUUAGCUCUUUAAAGUUAGUUUAUAUAUUUUCCGUCAAUCCUUAUUUGGGACCUUUACAAGUCUCGCUGAGCCGCAUGGUGCUCGACAUAAUGAAAUUCUUCUUCCUCUACGUCCUCGUCCUGUUCGCAUUUUCUUGCGGUAUGAACCAGCUGCUUUGGUACUACGCGGACAUGGAGAAGCAGCGGUGUCCCAACGCGACCACCACGUACGAUGCCAAAAAUUCAACCGACCCCGACGCCUGUCUCGUCUGGCGAAGAUUCGCCAACCUGUUCGAGACGUCGCAGACGCUCUUUUGGGCUGUGUUCGGCUUGAUCGACUUGGACAACUUCGAAUUGGCCGGGAUUAAGACUUUCACCCGAUUCUGGGGGAUGCUCAUGUUCGGAACCUAUUCUGUGAUUAAUAUAGUAGUCCUAUUAAACUUGCUCAUCGCAAUGAUGAAUCAUUCCUACCAGCUAAUAUCCGAACGAGCCGACAUCGAGUGGAAAUUCGCUCGUAGCCGUCUGUGGAUCAGCUAUUUUGAAGAGGGUGGUACCGUACCGCCGCCUUUCAACGUACUGCCUUCACCGAAGAGCGUCUGGUACUUCCUGAUGUGGCUGCACAGGAGGUUCUGCGGGCAGAGCAGGGCGGCAAAAAAAGAGCACAUGAGGACAAUUAAGCGCAAGGCCAAACAGGCGAGCGAGCGAGACUUCCGCUAUCAAACGAUAAUGCGUAAUCUCGUGAGGAGGUACGUGACCGUGGAGCAGCGGAAGGCGGAAAACGAGGGCGUCACGGAAGACGACGUCAACGAGAUCAAGCAGGACAUAUCCGCAUUUAGGUGCGAGCUGAUCGAGAUCCUGAAGGAGUCCGGGAUGAACACGUCGACGGCGACCGGGACCGGCACGGGAGCAGGAGGAAAGAAAAACAGGCAGAAGGAAAGGAGGCUCAUGAAAGGCUUCAACAUCGCACCGCCGCCCAGCUCGUCGAAUUCGUCCAACCUACCGGUUGCCGAGUUCAUAGCCGCUCUCCAAAAAAGUUCUUCCAAUGAAAACUUAUCCAACGCCGGGCCUGGACGACUAGGCUAACGCUUUAAUAGCUGCUUGGCUAUCCGAACUUAUGAGGAUUUUUUUUUGCCAGCGGUAACCUCUUUUAAGACUUUCUAGAGCACAAGCAUUAAUGGCAGGUAUUUCUGCUUGAAAGACCGAUGUGUACUUCCCUGGUGAAUUGGAAUGCUCAUCUUUUGGGCUUGUACAGAAAACAGCCAUCCGGUUUCUUCGUUUGUUUCGGAGCCAUUGGAGACAGCUUUACAUUCUUUUAAUGAUAAGUCAUCUCCUCUGAGACGUCCUGUCCAACUAAUCAACGGAUUUGCCAGUCUUGGUGAGGGUUGGUUUAAGGAUGUGUAAGGUUCAGGCAGACAUUCCAAUAUCCCCAUAUCCAAACUGCCCAAUCCAUAAUCAUAAGAAAAAACCUUGAUGCUCCAUUUUAUAGUCCCAACAAAACACACCAUACAGACUGAGAUAUUUUUUUGUUCGCAGUGUAAUCCUCUUUCA